rnacentral:lncRNA from 10 species
AGUAAAGGAAGCUUCAGGAAAAUCACAUAUUGAAAGAGGGUGUUGACUACAAAUGGGAAACCUGACCCCACCCACUGCUGGGUACUUAAGCUGUAGAAAGUCAGAGGCCUGUCCCUAGUUCUGCUGGAGUGGAGCUGAGAGAGGCUCUUGGGAGCUGCCUGCGUGGGCAGAGUUUGAAGGCUUAGGAUAUCUCCUGAAGGCCGGAUGGGCCAGUAGAGAUUAACGAGGCUUGAGCUGUCUUGAAAGAUGGCUGCCCUGAGAACUGGCUAGAAGAGGAGACCAAGGAGGCUGUGUGGGUCACCCUUGCAUUGGAGAUGAGGGGAGUCGUGAGAGAUCAGUGGGGAGCCCAUUGCCCUGUUGGGGAACUGCCUGGUGGAGCUUUCCCAGGGAUAUUUUAAAGAACCUACAUGGGAGAAAGCCUGCAUUUGGACAUCUUCCAGGCCAUUCAAUAGCCAAAGAGAACCACCAACAGCUUGAAUCAAAAAAAAGGCCCUCAAAAUAGGCUGAAUGAAAAGAGGUGUGAUCGAUGAAAACUGGCCGCUCCUUCUUUGCAACUCCUUCCAUUAGGUGGUGGAGUCUACGUUGCCCUCCCUUUGAUCCAGGCUGGCCACACAAAUUACUUUCACCAACAGAAUGCUGUAGAAGUGAUACUGCAUGACCUCUGAGCCCAGGCCUUAAGGGACUUUGCAGCUUCUGUUCUUGGCCUCUGGCUGCUCUGUGACUACCAUGGAAGGAGUUCCACACUAACCUCCUGUAGGGUAAGAGACACGUGGAGGCAGACUGAGCCUCCCAGCCAUCCCACUGAGGCUCCAGGCGUGCCAGUGAUGUACCUGGCUGAAGCCUGGCCCCCAGUCACCCACUGACGGCAGCUGCAAAGGUGCCCGUGAUGAGUGGGUCACUGACAAGAAAAUUCACCUGGAGGCCAAAUUGUCUCUAAUAACAAGUCCAAGACAUGCAUUCCAGCUGGAAUCCUCUUCCCGGAUGGUUGUGUGUUUUUAAUUGCAGUAGCCAUCUCCAAAAAUGCCAUCCAGUAACCAUGCCCUUGUGUGCUGCCCUUUCCAUGAAUCUGAGCUAGCCCCAUAAUUUGCUUUUGGCCAUUGGAUGGUGGUGGAAGUGAUGCUGUGUGACUUUUGAAGCUGAGUUACAAGCAGCCUUGGACAGUCUUUCUAGACCUCGUGGAGGGCUCACUCUGGGGGAAGCCAACCAGCAUGUAAGGAGCAUAACUGCCCUGAGACCGCCGUGUUGUUAGGAUGCCCAGCUAGCUAUGUGGAGAAGCUGCAUAGACUGAGGGAGAAGCCCAGCUAGUCCCCAGUUAUUCCUGCCACCCUAACUGAGGCACCAGACCCAUGAGCAAAGAAACCAUCAUGGAUGUCCUGUCCCAUCCAGCUUCUGUGACUGUAACUGUAUGAGGACCCCAAUGAAAACCACACAGCUGAGCCUAGUCAACACACAGAGCUAUGGAAGAUAAUAGUAAAUUGUUGCUUUAAGCCACUUGGUGUUUAUUCAUUUGUUUGGAGGGGGUCGGGGGCAGAGAGAUUAUGCAGCAGUCGAAAACCAGAACACUUGCAUAAAUCUCUAUGAAGCUGGACAUCUCUCUAGACCUGAAGAAGCUCCAGAAUGCCCUGAGCCUGGCAUGACUACAGGGCCACUCUAUUCCCCCGCUGGAAUGAUCCAGAGUGCCAGGAAAACAGGCCCUUCACACAAGGCCCUGAGUCUGUUUCCUGGUUCCUCCAUGACUAGCUGCAAAACUUUAGACAAGCCAGUGCUCUCUCAGCCUGAAUUUUCCCAUCUGCAAAGUUAGGCAAUAGAGUCAAUGGAUCAUCAAAGAUUCUUCUGCUUCUCUGCCUCAUGAAAUAUCACUCUGUGCCUAAGAGAUGAACACACCACCUAGAAUUCCCCCUCUAGGCGUGCCCUUUCUCGGUUCACUCACAUGAUAGGCAUAAAGGCACAAGGAGAAAGGAGCUCAUCUGCGCUGUUUCUGGGCUUCAGGAAUCUCCAGUCACCAAGUGAGGCUGUGGGAGGGCCAGACAUGCCAGCCAGUACCCAGGUUCCCAGCUCCAUGCCCCUCCUCAGCCUCCCUUGAGUUUUUCAGUGCUAAAGAGGGAGCACCUGCUCCAAGGCCCAGGUAGUUCUGGAAUCCCAGCUCUACCUGAGAAGAGGAAGUUCCUGCCUGCCAAAGAAGAGGGGCCUCCUGAGAGGAGUAGGCUUCUCGGUGGCUGCAAAGCGUCUGGUGACAAUAUUUGUGUCUAAAAAUACAGCAGCUGAGAACCAGCUAAUUGCAGCCUCUGGAGUCAUUCAUAGCUCAGCGUUUCACACCACACUUGCACCUCUUCCAGUGUUUCUCAGGAGCUGCCACGAAGGAGGCCACUUAUGGGUGGAAACCCAGCCAGGAGGGCCCAGGAUUGGGCCUAAGGUCCAGGGCAUCCUUUCACCCAAGAGCCCAGCCUGGUACCAGUAUGUAGCUGGCACCUAGGAAUAGAGCAAAGAGAGCAAGUUUCUCAAGUCAGCUGAAUCCCCCCCCCUCUACUCAGAUGCCCUUGGCCACUUGCCCAUCAGGAUCCAUUCAGACCUGUUGGGGCCCCUCAAAAGGCAAUGGCCCAGGUAUAACUUCAUGAGUGAGAUGUACUCGAAGAGAUGCACAAGGUCCAGGAAUUACCUUGCUGGAGACGGCCUUCUGUCCUGGACCUGCAGCCGGCAGGGUGCUAACCUUUGAGCUAGGACCUCUGCUGGACUGGGUCAUGGGCUAAGCAGGGGUUGGGACCCCAUAGCUCCCUGCUGUGGAUCCUCCUUUCUUUCAGAGCUUCUCAGAUGGCUCCUGUCUCGUCUACCAGGAUAAAGGGCAUGACUCAAGGUCACAGGAUGUGACGAUCUGAGAACUUCAGCCACAGCCUCUCUGGUGCCCCACACUGCCUGAACACACAGUGGACGAAGGUCAUGGCAAAAGUAGAAGGAACCCUGCGUGGGGAAUGUGUUUGCCUCAGGCUUUAGGAGAAGGAAUUUUUUUUUUCUUAAUCAGGGAGGCAUUUUAAAAGCACAAAGCCAAACUAACAUUUGUGUAGUAUUUUUCACUUGGCAAAAUGCUGUCACACACCUAGUGCUAGGUGGUUCCCAUGUUAAUUAGAUGAGGUGGUUAUUAUUAUGGCGUCCACUUUAUGGGUAAUUAAACUGAGGAUCAGAGGGGCUGAGUCAUUUCCCCAGGGUCACCAAAGUCAUGACCAGCCUUGAACUCAAGUCAGGAGCCCUCCUGCUGGGUCAGCAGGCCCAGCACCGCCUCCUGGCCCAGCUUAGAAGCUUGACUAGUCAGCCCCAUUGGGGUCCCAGAUUACAGAAAUGCCACACUCCGGCCACACAGCCCUGAAUCCAACCUAAAUCCAGCUCCAUCAACUUCCCCCUAUCUGCGAAAUUCAUUUGAAUCCCACUCUGAAUCUGGAUCCAUUAACCUUUGACCUAUGAGAAAUGAGUCAGAGCCUAAGAAAAAGCGGGCACCUAGAGAAAGCAGGGAGCAAAAAACAGAGUUUCUGAGAGCAGGGGCCCUCUGCUUGAUGGUCAGCUCCUCCCCUGGCACCUGGGCCAGGUCAGCCGAUGCUCUGUGUGGCCAAGAGAGGGCCAGACCUGGCCUCUGGCUGUGAGUGGCUGGGACGGCGAGCAAGACCCAGCUACAUAUCUGUCUUCAGCCCCUGCAACUGGGAGAGCAGCAACUCAGAGAUCAGCCGUUUCACCCUUCUUCCUAAUCACCGCGGGCGUGAUGGAACACCUUGACAUUCUUUAACGAAAGUUCAACUCCACUGCCACUCGGGGCGCUGCAUGAGGAAUGAGGUUUAUGUUGAAUCCCAGAAUCACAGAAAUUAGAGAUGAAAAAGGACGCUGAGGUCAGAGGCAGCCCAUCCCCAUGGGGCCAAGUGCACGUUCUUCUCGGUAAUAGACUUUCCCUUUAUUCCUCCAGUCCAGGUGGCUGCCUCCCUGAAGACCAUUCUCCACUGUUUCUUGGAGAAGACACUGUUGAUAGAAAUGAGAAGUCUGUGCUGAUCCCUGCAUGAUUUGCUUUGAAAUUUAUUAAUCAUCCAAAAGCUGGUGAAGAGGGGAAAAAAGAGAAUGUAAACUCAUCUGGUAGCCAGCGUGCCUGAGUGCGAAGAAGGAGGAGAGCCAGAACCCUCUGGGUUUCCAGCUUGCUAUAGCUCUAGGGCAGCAUGGGACAGUGUAGACUGAUCACUGACUUGCUAUGUAACCUGGCAAAAUUUUGACUUCCCUGAGCCUCAGUUUUCUCAUCUGCAAAAUGGGAGCUCAUGAUGCCUAUGCACAGGGCUGUUGGAAGAUUAGAGUUAACAAAGGUUUAGCACCUCAUAUUGUGCCUGACCCAUGUGAAUUACUCCGUAAAUGGUAACGAUUAUUACUAACAUUACUUUAUGACUCUCCCCUCUCCAGAUCCGUGUCCCUGUCUGUAACACAGGGCUAAGCAAGUUCUUCAGCUAUUGGGCUUCAUCCACUCAACAUUCCACUGGCACUUCCAGAGCUGCCACCACACUUCAGACUCCCAAGGCUAACAAUGACCAAGAAAGACAGAUUCUCUGACGUCAUGGAACUUACUGUCUUUAUGAAUUUCCAGGGAGAAGGGUGCUAAGAUGCUAACAUGGAUACUAACCAUCUGAUGCAAUAUUCUGCUGCACAGAUUGUGACCUAUGACUCACUGGGACAUGAUAGAGGUCACAGAAAUGCCAAUGACAUCCCAAAGACAGUGUGGGAGUGUGUUGUCUAGCUUCUUAGCAAACCCCACCCCCACGGUGGCAUGACCCCUGCACCAUCUUCUCCCACCCUGGGAUCUCCUUCCUACCCCUCUGCCCAUGUCAAUCUGGAAGAAGUAUGUGUGCAUCACAGGAGUCCAGGCUUUGAGCCUGGGAUCAGCACAGUUCCUGACUCUGACCCACACACCAUGAGCCAAAGCUCUAGACCUUUCAGAAAUUCUUCACCAUCAGAAAAAUGGAGGUGGCACGCCCUGCCGCAGCUGAUCAACUUCCCAGAUGUGCUGCGAGCCUGCAGUAAGAGAAUGGAUGUGAAAGUGCUUUGUAAACUGAAAAUUCCAAUGAGAAAAAUCCAUUAUCAUUAGGAGAAAGAGAUAGAAGUGGCCUGGCUUUGAAACAUGGUGCUAUCCCCUAGCAAGCAGAGGAGGAGCUUCCAGACAGAAAAUGGUACCUUUCCCCAGAGUCUAUGUUGAGGUGCACCAGCCUUUCCAGUCCUGAGAAAAGACAGAGUCAUGGCUCCAGGGCAGGUGGGCAUGCCUGUGUCCCAGGAGGCACUGUUCUUCCUGGCCAGAGACCCAUGCCCACUUCAGAGGAGCCAUGAAGGAGAAACACCAGGCCACAGUGGAGGACUGUGAUCAAGGAAAAAUUGAAGAACUGCUGCAGGAAAUUGGAGCUGCCAAUCUCCUAACAAUUGGAAUUUUUUUAUACUGUGCAUUUCACAAAUGUAUGUCCUCAAGGACAGAGAAGAUCCUGCCCUAAGGAGCAAGUGUGCGGAGGCCACCUGGCCUUCACUGGUUCCUGCACUGAAUGUUUCCUUCUCACCUGCUGAGUACCAGGUGUUACCCCAGGUAUGAGAUGACCACGCCAGGAAGAUGUAGACCCCGCUCUCAAGGGCUUACAGGCUGCAGGGCAAGUAGACCAGCAAACUGCCAUCAAGAUUCAGUGUGAGAGGUGCAUUCUACAACAGCACUCAGAGCAGGGAUCCAGGGAAGUGGUGCCUAACAUAGACAGAAGGAGUCCAGGAGGACUUCCAGGUGGAAGUGACAUCUAAAAGA